rnacentral:rRNA from 1 species
GACAGAGGGUGCAAACGUUGUUCGGAAUUACUGGGCGUAAAGCGCGUGUAGGCGGCUUGGCAAGUCGGGUGUGAAAGCCCCGGGCUCAACCUGGGAAGUGCACUCGAAACUGCUUGGCUUGAGUACUGGAGAGGGAAGCGGAAUUCUCGGUGUAGAGGUGAAAUGCGUAGAUAUCGAGAGGAACACCAGUGGCGAAGGCGAGUCCCUGGACAAAACCUGACACUGAGGCACGAAAGCUAGGGGAGCAAACAGG